AUUGAACGCUAGCGGGAUGCUUUACACAUGCACGUCGAACGAGUGGCGGAAGGGUGAGUAAUAUAUCGGAACGUGCCCAGGAGCGGGGGAUCACUACUCGAAAGAGUGGCUAAUACCGCAUACGAUUGGACCGGCCAAUAUCGGGUUAGCUCGUUGGUGGGGUAAAGGCUCACCAAGGCAACGAUCCGUAGCUGGUUUGAGAGGAAGACCAGCCACACGGGGACUGAGACACGGCACAGACGCCUACGGGAGGCAGCAGUGGGGAAUAUUGGACAAGAGGGGAAACCCUGAUCCAGCCAUCCGGCGUGUAUGAGAAGGCCUUCGGGUUGUAAAGUACUUUUGGCAGAGAAGCGGUAUCUGCAGAAUAAGCACCGGCUAACUCCGUGCCAGCAGCCGCGGUAAUUC
rnacentral:rRNA from 1 species